rnacentral:rRNA from 1 species
GCAAGCGAGGUGCGAUAGGAGGGGGUAGUAGGGAGGUGGUAAGGUGUGUCCGGGUGUAUGGGGGUUAAAGGGUGCGUAGGCGGGUUCCGAAGGAAGUUGUGUAAUACGGCAGCGUAACGGUCGGGGGGCAAUUGAGACGGGGGCAGUUGAGUACGGAUGAGGUAAGCGGAAUGGACGGUGUAGCGGUGAAAUGCUUAGAUAUCGUCCAGAACACCGAUAGCGAAGGCAGCUUACUAAGGAGUAACUGACGCUGAGGCACGAAAGUGUGGGGAUCAAACAGGAUUAGAUACCCGAGUAGUC